rnacentral:lncRNA from 1 species
AUGGACAAUUUAAUCACCAAAGCUGGCCUCUUAGUCAUUCCUUCCACGUUCUUUAUUUCUCUGCUUCUGUCUCAGCCACUCCUGCAGCAUUUUGGCACAAUCCCCUGGCAGCAUUCAGCCUUGGUCUCCAUGCACGAGGUCAGCCAGUGUGACACUGCCUUAGCUAACAGGAACAAUUCCUCUCGGCAAUGGGGUAAUCUCCCAGCUGCAAGUGGUGGUCAGCGUCUAGUCUUUGCCAUGGUCCAGGUAGACCCUCCAUUGAAUUUGGUUUAUCAGUCAAAGCCUUGCUUUCCAGCCUCAGGAAUGAAGUGCUUUGGAUCAAGUUUUUGAAUCACUCUCCUGUCACUUCAGAAAGGAAAGGCAUCCUGGCUCUCAUGAUCAAAUGUUAGCCCACACAUACAAGCCUCCAGGAAACCAUCCAAAGGAACGAUUCCAGAAGGAACUCUUCCCAGAGGAGAGUCAAGAGAGUAAAAUCAAGACUAGCUAGAGUGAGAAAUCCUAAGCAAACGUGAUUCUGAUCUGUGCCAGAAACUCACAGCAAGGUUAGUGCCUUAUCUAUCGAUAGGUAGAUUGAUAGGUAUGCCAAUCUAUCUAUCAAUUUAUCUACGUAAUCAUCUAUCCAUCAUAUAGCCAGCUAUCUUAGAAUUAUAAUACAGAAGCGAGAAGGCAUUAAUGUGAAUAUGUUCAUCAAACUAAAAGAACGAGUUAAGGCUUUGGCUUGUGGAAAUACGAAGACCACGUGGAUGAGAAGCAGAGGCCGUUUACUCAGAGCUGGAAUUGCUGUCCUGGUUAUGAAGACAAGGAUAUUGAAACACAGCGAGAUCCAGUGCCUUGCUUAAGGCCAUGUAGCUGUAAGUGAUAAAGCUGAGACUGGCACAAAUGUCCAUCUGCACCAAACAUAUUCCCUUAACCUCUGUCACAUAUUCCAAAUGACUGCCUUGCUGAAAACAGUAUGGACAAACAGCUAAUUCACCUUGCUACAGUGUAGAAAUUCAGUUAUGUCAAUGAACGAAAUUCAUUAUCACAACAUGAAGUAAUCGAUCAGAAAAUAUUCUAAUCACAGGAUGACUUCAUAACUAUUGAGCCAGUAGACUAGGUCAGGGUCAAUUUCAAGACCUUUUCACAGAGAGUGAAGGAUUUAGAGGAAAGCACACAAGAGUCUGGGUGGAUACAAUUGCCACUUGGCUGGAAGUUUCCUGUGAAGCACCACAAAGUCAGGACAAGCUAAGGACAGAAGAGGGAGGCAGUGCACACUGACCAGGGGGUCGAUUCUUCAAAGUUUUAUUGUGCAAUGUUUGAAUAACAAAGAGUAGAGAGAAGAGUAUGACAAAACCUGUAAAUCAAUCACCCAUCUUUAAUAAUUACCAAUAUUUUGCCAAUAUCAUUUCAUCGACAACCCCUAUUUGUUGAAAAAAGGUAGAUGUUUACUUCUCUGCCCAAUAAAAAUAGUUGGACAGCUUGCA